AUUGAACGCUGGCGGCAGGCCUAACACAUGCAAGUCGAACGGAAGCACAGUACGUGCUCGUUGUUUCGGCUGGGGACUGGCGGGCGAGGCCUGAGAAUAUCCGAGUCUGCUGUUGCUUAGGGGCGGACGCAGGCGAACAUACGCCAUUAGCGCAGACGACGUACGGGGGGAAUCUGGGGACCUUACGCUAUUGGACGAUUCUAGGAGCCGAUGUCGGAUUAGCUAGUUGGCGGGGUAAAGGCCCACCAAGGCGACGAUCCGUAGCUGGUCUGAGAGGAUGAUCAGCCACACUGGAACUGAGACACGGUCCAGACUCCUACGGGAGGCAGCAGUGGGGAAUAUUGGACAAUGGGCGCAAGCCUGAUCCAGCCAUACCGCGUGGGUGAAGAAGGCCUUCGGGUUGUAAAGCCCUUUUGUUGGGGAAGAAAGGCAGUAGGUUAAUACCUCGCUGUUUUGACGGUACCCAAAGAAUAAGCACCGGCUAACUUCGUG
rnacentral:rRNA from 1 species